CCCGCGGGAAUGGAGUGGUGCAGCCGGCCGUGGCGUCCCGGGAAGGCUAGGGCUAGAGCCUCUGGGUUUAUGGCUUGUAAGGGCGGACCUGGGCUCUGUUGGGAGUUCGACAAGCGCCCAUGGCUAGAAGAGGCCCUAACACAUCCAAAAAAUAAAGUCAGGGAAAAGAGAGAUUCCUCAAUAAAUAUUUUACAACGAGAAACUAUAUUAUCAUUCAAAACAGCUCUGUGAGGCAAAUGGUGGUAUCUCCAUUUUACAGAUGUAAAAACUGACGCUUAGAGAAAUUAAACGAUGUGUUUAAGGUCUCAGUGAGUGUUAGUAUUAAGACAGCAUCCAAGUCUUUUUGACUCCAAGGGCUGGCGGACUGGAUUCUUUUUCCUCCAAUAAAGAACGAACGUGCUCACCUGCUCACCAGCUACCACAGCCAAGAGAUCUAAGGAGAAGAAAGAUGUCAGGGUGACGCGAAAGAGUUCUUUCCCAAGGUCUUCAGUGGUUCCCCUGCCCCAAACCUUUUCAGUGAGCAUCCCAUUUUCCUGCUGUGUAACACCACGAGUGUUGGGCAUAUUCUAGGAUGGAACCUAAUGUUCAAAUAACAAAAAUCAGGGAGAGGAAGUAAAGAAGAACUACAGAAUCUUGGCUUGUUGACGGCCAAUGACAAACUGCUGCGUUCACAUUUCUCCUCAUUUUAUUCUUGACUACUGAGGUUAAGAAGAUUAUGACUCUGCUUGAGUAAUAGUCUCAAUAUGGCAAAGAACAGCUUGGAUCUAAGUGUGUAAACACACCCACGGAAGAUGUCAACGUGUAUGUUGGCAGUCUCGGAAACCACACGUUGAAAAUGACGGAGCAAAAAUCACAGCCUGGAGUGUGCUGUGGUCCCGAAGAGGGUCCCUCCUUGGUGCGGACUGGGGAGCAGCCGGGGUCUGGGAAGGUCAGCCAGCCCCCCAACCCCACAGGUCUGAUGUCUCCACUUCCACCCACAGGCCUUACUGCUCUGUUUACAGUGACCUGCCCCAGGCCCCUCCCCUAGAGGGCAUGGGGUUUCAGAGGUCCACCCUCUGGGUCAGUGGUUA